rnacentral:rRNA from 1 species
CCUACGGGAGGCAGCAGUGAGGAAUAUUGGACAAUGGGCGCGAGCCUGAACCUGCCAAGUAGCGUGAAGGAUGACUGCCCUACGGGUUGUAAACUUCUGUUAUAAAGGAAUAAAGUGAAGCACGUGUGCCUUUUUGUAUGUACUUUAUGAAUAAGGAUCGGGUAACUCCGUGCCAGCAGCCGCGGUAAUACGGAGGAUCCGAGCGUUAUCCGGAUUUAUUGGGUUUAAAGGGAGCGUAGAUGGUUUGUUAAGUCAGUUGUGAAAGUUUGCGGCUCAACCAUAAAAUUGCAAUUGAUACUGGGAGUCUUGAGUACAGUUGAGGGAGCCGGAAUUCGUGGUGUAGCAGUGAAAUGCUUAGAUAUCACGAAGAACUCUGAUUGCGAAGGCAGCUUACUAAACUGCCACUGACAUUGAUGCUCGAAAGUGUGGGUAUCAAACAGGAUUAGAUACCCCUGUAGUC